ACACGCACAUGCAUCUUUUCCUUGUCCCUGAUGUUGUGUUGUGAUUGUUGUAGCCUCUGGAGGUGAAAGAGCAGAGGAUUCGGGAGAAGAAGCAACCAGAGGAGCCGGAGAACACGGCCCCUGUCCUGUAUAUCUGCCACAUCCCCCAUGCUUCUAUGAGUACCAGAUGCAAGGUUUCUCAGUAGCUUGGGGCUAUUAAGAAGAUGGUCUGUUGGUCAGUAUUGCCCGGAACUGCAAGAUAUCCUAUACUGCAUUAUUACAAGAUAUCUGGCGAUUUGUGUGUGUUUUCUGCAAGCCUCUAACUUGCUGUUUGGUCAUAUAUAUGUAGACAGGAAAAUCUAAGCAUUCAGAUAGUUAUAAGUACAUAUAUUUGCAACUAAACUGUACAUGAUGAUGAAUGAAUAUUAACUAAGUCAUUCACACAAAUAAAAAAGUAUACGGCAAGAGUGAAUAUCCAAUUAUCAGUUCAUGAAGUCAGACAGAUAAAAAAGCUGAUUCUUAAACACGAACAAAUAGAUAGAAUCUCGCACAAUUGCGACACCUUCGCCUUAUCGUUGUUACCUUUUCCGCUUCCCUUCUCUUUAUUCCCCUUAAUUCUGUUUAUCCUACCCCUAGAUCGAAUAUCAUUUGGCAGGUGGAUGUUAACUUCAUUAGUAAUGGUGCAACCAAUAAAUUCUUCAAACUCUUAUGGUACAGUUUGUUGUUUUGCUGGGACAUUCAGUUCGUUGCUUUCCAUCUCUAGAGAGCACGCCUCAUUCUGAUUGUUUAGUUUGAAUUAGCACAUUGAGGACAAAACAUCUCUUUUGGUUCCAUCUACUGCAGAACCUACUGGACAGAACAAAGUCGAGGGAAGAAGUAUGCGAGUCAAGUAUCCGUGAUGACCAACUGAUGAAAAUCACAUUUGAGUGGCCCAGUCGUUUGAUCUGCUCCAACACUACCGUUCCGGCUUUCAGAUUGAGUAACCUGUACCCACGUCUACUGCAAACCUACUAGACAGAAUAAAAUCGAGGGAAUAAGUAUAUAAACUCUUUAGUUAAUCAAGAUGAAUAGAUUUGCCUAUCCGCAGACAGCUCUGAAUCAGUUUUUACCCUUUCUUUUCUAGAAAGAUAAGAACAAUACCCAGUAUGAUCCUCUUCUUUUGUACCAGCUUCACUGAGGAGCCAAUUAGUACAAAAAUGUCUUUUGAAUUUCAUAGUUUUGGUCAUGAUGCCAUCAUACCGCAUGCAUGGUGCUUAUGCAACUAUAAGUCUAUAACUACAGAAAUGUACCUUUCUUUGCCUACAGCUAAAUAUGACCCGUCUUAGAUGGUUUGGAAGAA